rnacentral:rRNA from 1 species
UCAGAACGAACACUGGCGGCAGGCCUUAUACAUGCAAGUCGAGCGCAUCCUUCGGGAUGAGCGGCGGACGGGUGAGUAACGCGUGGGAAUGUGCCCUUCUCUACGGAAUAGCCACUGGAAACGGUGAGUAAUACCGUAUACGCCCUCAGGGGGAAAGAUUUAUCGGAGAAGGAUCAGCCCGCGUUAGAUUAGGUAGUUGGUGGGGUAACGGCCUACCAAGCCUACGAUCUAUAGCUGGUUUUAGAGGAUGAUCAGCCACACUGGGACUGAGACACGGCCCAGACUCCUACGGGAGGCAGCAGUAGGGAAUCUUGGACAAUGGGGGCAACCCUGAUCCAGCCAUGCCGCGUGAGUGAAGAAGGCCCUAGGGUCGUAAAGCUCUUUCCCCUGUGAUGAUAAUGACAGUAGCA